GACGAACGCUGGCGGCGUGCCUAAUACAUGCAAGUCGAACGCUUCUUUCCUCCCGAGUGCUUGCACUCAAUUGGAAAGAGGAGUGGCGGACGGGUGAGUAACACGUGGGUAACCUACCCAUCAGAGGGGGAUAACACUUGGAAACAGGUGCUAAUACCGCAUAACAGUUUAUGCCGCAUGGCAUAAGAGUGAAAGGCGCUUUCGGGUGUCGCUGAUGGAUGGACCCGCGGUGCAUUAGCUAGUUGGUGAGGUAACGGCUCACCAAGGCCACGAUGCAUAGCCGACCUGAGAGGGUGGUCGGCCACACUGGGACUGAGACACGGCCCAGACUCCUACGGGAGGCAGCAGUAGGGAAUCUUCGGCAAUGGACGAAAGUCUGACCGAGCAACGCCGCGUGAGUGAAGAAGGUUUUCGGAUCGUAAAACUCUGUUGUUAGAGAAGAACAAGGACGUUAGUAACUGAACGUCCCCUGACGGUAUCUAACCAGAAAGCCACGGCUAACUACGU
rnacentral:rRNA from 1 species